rnacentral:rRNA from 1 species
GACGAACCGUACGAACGUUAUUCGGAAUUACUGGGCUUAAAGGGUGCGUAGGCUGUGCGGAAAGUUGGGCGUGAAAUACCUCAGCUUAACUGAGGAACUGCGUUCAAAACUACCGUGCUCGAGGGAGACAGAGGUAAGCGGAACUGAGGGUGGAGCGGUGAAAUGCGUAGAUAUCGAAAGGAACAUCGGUGGCGAAAGCGGCGCGCUGGACCUCUUCUGACGCUGAGGCGCGAAAGCCAGGGGAGCAAACGGG